rnacentral:rRNA from 1 species
UGGGGAAUAUUGGGCAAUGGGCGCGAGCCUGACCCAGCAACGCCGCGUGAGGGAAGAAGGUCUUCGGAUUGUAAACCUCUGUCCUUGGGGACGAAAAAAAUGACGGUACCCAAGGAGGAAGCUCCGGCUAACUACGUGCCAGCAGCCGCGGUAAUACGUAGGGAGCGAGCGUUGUCCGGAAUUACUGGGCGGAAAGGGUGCGUAGGCGGUUUGGCAAGUCAGAUGUGAAAUCCCCGGGCUUAACUCGGGUGGUGCAUUUGAAACUGCUGAACUUGAGUGCAGGAGAGGAAAGCGGAAUUCCUAGUGUAGCGGUGAAAUGCGUAGAUAUUAGGAGGAACACCAGUGGCGAAGGCGGCUUUCUGGACUGUAACUGACGCUGAGGCACGAAAGCGUGGGGAGCAAACA